rnacentral:rRNA from 1 species
GACGAACCGUGCGAACGUUGUUCGGAAUCACUGGGCUUAAAGGGCGCGUAGGCGGACCAUCAAGUCGGGGGUGAAAUCUUUCAGCUCAACUGGAAAAGGGCUUCCGAUACUGGUGGUCUCGAGGGAGGUAGGGGUCGAGGGAACUGGUGGUGGAGCGGUGAAAUGCGUAGAUAUCACUAGGAACGCCGGUGGCGAAAGCGCUCGACUGGACCUCUUCUGACGCUGAGGCGCGAAAGCCAGGGGAGCAAACGGG